rnacentral:pre_miRNA from 15 species
AAGGACAAACUGUCCAGAGUGUGUUUGAUAAUCUGACAUGGGACAGAGGUUCUUUUCACUGUUGUGUCAGUUUAUCAAACCCAUACCUGGAUACC